AUUGAACGCUGGCGGCAGGCCUAACACAUGCGAGUCGAGCGGAUGAAGGGAGCUUGCUCCUGGAUUCAGCGGCGGACGGGUGAGUAAUGCCUAGGAAUCUGCCUGGUAGUGGGGGAUAACGUCCGGAAACGGGCGCUAAUACCGCAUACGUCCUGAGGGAGAAAGUGGGGGAUCUUCGGACCUCACGCUAUCAGAUGAGCCUAGGUCGGAUUAGCUAGUUGGUGGGGUAAGGGCCUACCAAGGCGACGAUCCGUAACUGGUCUGAGAGGAUGAUCAGUCACACUGGAACUGAGACACGGUCCAGACUCCUACGGGAGGCAGCAGUGGGGAAUAUUGGACAAUGGGCGAAAGCCUGAUCCAGCCAUGCCGCGUGUGUGAAGAAGGUCUUCGGAUUGUAAAGCACUUUAAGUUGGGAGGAAGGGCAGUAAGUUAAUACCUUGCUGUUUUGACGUUACCAACAGAAUAAGCGCCGGCUAACUUCGUG
rnacentral:rRNA from 1 species